UACGGAGGGUGCGAGCGUUGUCCGGAAUCAUUGGGCGUAAAGGGCGCGUAGGUGGCCUGCUAAGCGUGCGGUGAAAGCUCGGGGCUCAACCCCGAGUCGGCCGUGCGAACUGGUGGGCUUGAGCACUGUAGAGGCAGGCGGAAUUCCGGGUGUAGCGGUGGAAUGCGUAGAGAUCCGGAAGAACACCGGUGGCGAAGGCGGCCUGCUGGGCAGUAGCUGACACUGAGGCGCGACAGCGUGGGGAGCAACCAGG
rnacentral:rRNA from 1 species